rnacentral:tRNA from 1 species
UCCCCAGUGGCUCAGCAGUAAAGAAUUUGCCUGCAAUGCAGGAGACCCAGGUUUGAUCCCUGGGUUGGGAA